rnacentral:tRNA from 1 species
GGUGGCUCAAUGGUAGAGUGCUUGCUUCACGCGCAUGAGGCCCUGAGUUCAUUUCCUCAGCACCA